GAGUAACGCGUAAGGAACCUGCCUAUUAGAGGGGAAUAACAGUGAGAAAUCAUUGCUAAUACCGCAUAUGCCAUAGAUAUCACAUGAUAACAGUGGGAAAGGAGCAAUCCGCUAAUAGAUGGCCUUGCGUCUGAUUAGAUAGUUGGUGGGGUAACGGCCUACCAAGUCGACGAUCAGUAGCCGGACUGAGAGGUUGAACGGCCACAUUGGGACUGAGAUACGGCCCAGACUCCUACGGGAGGCAGCAGUCGGGAAUAUUGCGCAAUGGAGGAAACUCUGACGCAGUGACGCCGCGUAUAGGAAGAAGGUUUUCGGAUUGUAAACUAUUGUCGUUAGGGAAGAGAAAGGACAGUACCUAAGGAGGAAGCUCCGGCUAACUACGUGCCAGCAGCCGCGGUAAUACGUAGGGAGCGAGCGUUAUCCGGAAUUAUUGGGUGUAAAGGGUGCGUAGACGGGAGAACAAGUU
rnacentral:rRNA from 1 species